rnacentral:rRNA from 1 species
AAUGCCUAGGAAUCUGCCUGGUAGUGGGGGACAACGUUUCGAAAGGAACGCUAAUACCGCAUACGUCCUACGGGAGAAAGCAGGGGACCUUCGGGCCUUGCGCUAUCAGAUGAGCCUAGGUCGGAUUAGCUAGUUGGUGGGGUAAUGGCUCACCAAGGCGACGAUCCGUAACUGGUCUGAGAGGAUGAUCAGUCACACUGGAACUGAGACACGGUCCAGACUCCUACGGGAGGCAGCAGUGGGGAAUAUUGGACAAUGGGCGAAAGCCUGAUCCAGCCAUGCCGCGUGUGUGAAGAAGGUCUUCGGAUUGUAAAGCACUUUAAGUUGGGAGGAAGGGCAGUAAGCGAAUACCUUGCUGUUUUGACGUUACCGACAGAAUAAGCACCGGCUAACUCUGUGCCAGCAGCCGCGGUAAUACAGAGGGUGCAAGCGUUAAUCGGAAUUACUGGGCGUAAAGCGCGCGUAGGUGGUUUGUUAAGUUGGAUGUGAAAGCCCCGGGCUCAACCUGGGAACUGCAUCCAAAACUGGCAAGCUAGAGUACGGUAGAGGGUGGUGGAAUUUCCUGUGUAGCGGUGAAAUGCGUAGAUAUAGGAAGGAACACCAGUGGCGAAG